rnacentral:tRNA from 1 species
GAGGGUAUAGCUCAGUGGUAGAGCACAUGCUUAGCCUGCACGAGGUCCUGGGUCAGUCCCCAGUACCUCCA